UCCUACGGGAGGCAGCAGUGGGGAAUUUUGCGCAAUGGGCGGAAGCCUGACGCAGCAAUACCGCGUGAGUGAUGAAGGCUCUCGGGUCGUAAAGCUCUGUCAGAGGGGAAGAACCUCCUGUCGCCUAAUAAGCGGCAGGCCUGACGGUACCCUCAGAGGAAGCACCGGCUAACUCUGUGCCAGCAGCCGCGGUAAUACAGAGGGUGCGAGCGUUAAUCGGAAUUAUUGGGCGUAAAGGGUGCGUAGGUGGUUAGAUAAGUUAGAUGUGAAAGCCCUGGGCUUAACCUGGGAAUUGCGUUUGAUACUGUCUGGCUAGAGUACUGUAGAGGGAAGUAGAAUUUCCGGUGUAGCGGUGAAAUGCGUAGAUAUCGGAAGGAAUACCAGUGGCGAAGGCGACUUCCUGGACAGAUACUGACACUGAGGCACGAAAGCGUGGGGAGCAAACAGGAUUAGAUACCCUGGUAGUCCACGCCGUAAACGAUGAUAAC
rnacentral:rRNA from 1 species